rnacentral:rRNA from 1 species
AUACGGAGGAUCCGAGCGUUAUCCGGAUUUAUUGGGUUUAAAGGGUGCGCAGGCGGCCAUUUAAGUCAGCGGUUAAAUCGUGGGGCUCAACCCCAUUUUGCCGUUGAUACUGGGUGGCUUGAUUGCGGUCGAGGUUGGCGGAAUUCGUUGUGUAGCGGUGAAAUGCAUAGAUAUGACGAAGAACACCGAUUGCGUAGGCAGCUGACCAGACCGCAAAUGACGCUCAUGCACGAAAGUGCGGGGAUCGAACAGGAUUAGAUACCCUGGUAGUCCGCACAGUAAACGAUGAAUACUUGUUUUCGGCGAUAUAAUGUCGGAGGCAAAGCGAAAGCGAUAAGUAUUCCACCUGGGGAGUACGCCGGCAACGGUGAAACUUAAAGGAAUUGGCGGGG